AAGCCAGGACCCAUGGAGUCUGAUCUACAACACAAGCAGUAGCAGUUCCACAUCUCCCUACCACCUCUUAUUUCCUACGAAGUCUUUCUGCCUGAAACUGGAAAACCCGAACUAUUAUUGAGGAAGUGAAGCCCUUCCAUUUGAAUCCUGAGAAAGACGCGCUCAAAGAACCCAGCGAACAAAGGAGAGGGUUGGAGCCCACGCAAAACAUGGGUGUGAUAAAGCCACACGCGACCUGAGCCCCCACCCUCAGUAACUACUCUCCAGCGCCCACCGGGAGGAGGGGUCCGGGGAAAGGAUUGGCAUCCUCUGCUUCUGCAGAAAACAUGGCUACCAACAGCUUCUGUAUCCACCUGCGGAGGAGACUGACUGCUCUGUUAUUCCCCCAGCAUCUGUGAAGAGGCUCUGACUGGCUAAAGUGUUGGAAGGAGUCUGUAGCUUUAGGGGAAGACAGAGCCACAAGAUGGAAGGAGCUUGGAUGUCUGAACUAUUCCAUGGAGAAAAGCUGCAGCCAACGAAGAACACCUGCAAUGGACUCUUAACCUGGGGGUGACGACAACCACUGAAAUAUGCUGCAUCUUAGUCCAGGGAUUUUUAAAGUGUGGUUCCUGGAAGAGCUGGAUCAGAGUCAUCUGUGUUGAUGGUUUAACAUAAAGAUUUUCGAGCCCCAAGACUCAAGUAGGACAAGGAAUUUGAAUUUUUAAGCAGCUCACCUGACUUGUCUGUCCUCUAAUGUCUGAAGACAUCUGACCUCUGCUCUUUCAGUAAAAGCAACAAUGGUUUUAUGAGCAUUGUCGUCACAUCUCUCCACUCAAGGGAUCCUUCUCAUUUCUCCCAGCUGAGGUCACCCACAGCUGCUGCUUCUAACUGCUGGCUUCCAGCCUGCUGUCUGCCAGCUGGCUCUACCCUCUCCUAUAACACGGCAGAGAGUAGCUGUGGUCUCCUGCGUGCUCACCCUCUGCUCCCUUGGUCCUGCUCCAUGCUUUGGUCCUGCACUUAAAUUUUACAAGCAUACUCUCUUUCUCUUAAGAAUGAUUUUCAAUGCCAUUUAGAGGAAAUCUUGGGAUCAACUUGGGAAAAGACGGAGGCUCCUGGCUCUGAUCUUUGGGGACUUCAGAUUUUCUGGAUCAAGGUGAGAUACUACAAAUUUGUAAGAAGAAAAGAAAUGUUUUCUCUUUUCAGCAUAAAAGCCAUAAUGUUAAGGAUAUUAAAAAAUAUCAUGUAAUGUGCACUUUGCAUAAACUUAUCUGAAAUUUAGCAUGAAAAUUGUUUUUUACUCUGAGCUACAGGGAAGGUGUCCCAGAAGAAAUGAGGCUUGCUCACUCCAUGUUUCCAUCACCAGGGGAUUGUGUCCUGCAGGGUCACUCUGCCUGCAUUCACUAGGCCUGUUCAGUCUUAGGGAUUUGCAAAGGUUCUCCUAUCCUUCAGGACUUCUGUUUGGAUUGUUCGGAAAUGUCCUUUGUGAUUGAUGGCUCUUGCCUCAUCACCCAUUCAUGAUGAAGGGGAAUAAGCUGAUUAAACACGACAUUUUGUGAGCCCUCCAUUUCCUCUUGCUUCUUGUAUUAGUUUUCUAUGGCUACUGUAAUAAAUCAACACAAAUUUAGUGGCUUAGAACAACAUGAACUUGUUAUCUUGCAUUUCUGUAGGUUUAGAAAUCCAACACAGGUCUCACCAGGCUGAAAUCAAGUUGUUAGCAGGGCUACGUUCCCUUCUGGAGGCCCUGGGGGAAAGCUGUCCCCUUGCCUUUUCCAGCUUCUAAAGGCUGCACACAUUCCUUGGCUUCUAGCCCCUUCUUUACAUCAUCAAAGCCAGCAUUGUUGCAUCUCCCUGAAGGUCCUUGAAGUGUAAACCCAUUCUUCAGUUCUUAUCAUUCCACUAACUGCCCCUUACUGCCUCACUUUUCUACCUUUAAGGACCCUUAUGAUUACAUCAGGACCACCCAGAUAAUCCUUGAUACUCUCCUCAUCUCAAGGCCCUUAACUUCAUCAUAUCUGCAAAGUCCCUCUUGCAAUGUAAGCUAACAUAGUCACAUGUUCCCGAGAUUAGGAUGUAGGUAUCUUUGAGGGAGGGCAUUAUUCUACCUACCACUCUUCUUAUUAAGAUUAUGUAUUUCUUUAAAAAUUAAGAAACAUAAAGUUUAUUGCUAUAUUAUAAUUUUCAUCAUGAUAAAGUCAAGGUUGAAGUGCAAUAGAUUAUUUGUAAAAAUGGUCACAAUAAUUUCCUGUCUUAUUGGGCAUGGCAGCUCAUGCUGAGGUUGGGGGAAGGAUUGCUUGAAGUAAGGAAUUCAAGACCAGCCUAGGCAACUAAGAGAGAUUCCAUCUCUUCAAUUUUUUUUUUUUUUUUUUUUCUGAGACAGGAUCUUAAUCUGUUGCCCAGGCUGGAGUGCAGAGGCAUGAGCUUGGCCUUCUGCAACCUCUGCCUCCUAGUCUCAGGUGAUCCUCCCACCUCAGCCUCCUGAGUAGCUACAGGUACAUGCCACCACACCUGGCUAAUUUUUUAAAAAUUCUUUUGCCCAGGCUGGUCUUGAACUCCUGAGCUCCUGUGAUCUGCCUGCCUCAGCCUCCCACAGUGCUGGGAUUACAGGCAUGAGCCACCAUGCCUGGCCAAAACAUUUUUAAAAAAAUGAUUUCCUUUCCUUUCCUGUAUCCACACCCUUAUGAAAUCCCCUCUCAUGUGGACUUUGAGCUUGGCCAUAUGACAUACUUUGGCCAGUGAGACUACUGCAAACAUGAUGGAAGCGGAUACUUAAAAAGUACUUGCACACUGGGACUUGCCUUCUCUUGCUACUCUUAAGCCCUUUCUGACUACCAUGUGAAGAGGCCUGGUGCAUAUACUAAGUGAGAAGAUACAUGUGACCUAGGCACCUUUGUCAUCAAGCCAACAGCUAACACUGGGAGGUAGCACCAAUCACUAAGCAGCACAAGCCACCAGACAUUUAGAUGAGGCCACCUGAGAUCAUCCAGGCAGCAGCUGACCCGGCAGAAACCACAGGUAUGUGAAAGAGGCCAGCAGAGGGAAGACAAGCUGGGCCAGAACAGAAGAAUUGUCCAGCUGAACAACAGAAUUGUGAACUAAAUUAAAUUUUGGGGGGAUGGUUGGCUGUGUGGCAAAGGUUAAUUAAUGUGGGAAGGGAUAGGUAAACUAGAAACCAAAGUUGAGAAUAAGGUUGAAUAAACGAAAGUUUAGUUGCAAGGGAGUGGUGACAAAGAAGAGCCCUUAAAGGCAAAAUCAUAGACAACGUUUUUUGGAGAGAUCAUUUGCACAAGUACAGUAGAGGCCCCUCCUUCCUCCUCCACCUUCAUGCCCUGACUCUGUGGACGUUCAGUGUCACAAGAAAUGCUCCAAUAAUCCCUUUCAUGGAAUGAUAUAAUGUCAUAAGAAGGAGCAUAAAAAUUCCCUGUUCUGAUUUUCCUAUUUAAUGGGAAGCUCAAAAAGACAAAAUGGCUUGCCCAUUUCAUCCUGAAAGUUUAGCUUAUACAGUGAUAUGCCACAUAAUGAUAUUUUUGGGUCUACAAUGGACCUCAUAUAUGACAGGUGGUCCCAUAAGAUUGUAAUGGAGCUGAAAAAUUCCUAUUGCCUUGUGACCUCGUAGCCAUCAUAAUGUUGUAGCACAAUGCAUUACAUUUGUGGUGAUGCUGAUAGAAACAAACCAACUGUGCUGCCAGGUGUAUCAAAGUAUAGAACAUGCAAUUAUGUACAGUAUAUAAUACUUGACAAUGAUAAUAAAUGACUAUGUUGCUGGUUUGUGUAUUUACUUUUUAUCAUUAUUUUAGAGUGUUCUCCUUCUACUUAUUAAAAAAAAAUAACUGGAAAACAGCCUUAGGCAGGUCCUUCAGGAGUAUUCCAGAAGAAAGCAUUGUUAUCAUAAGAGAUGACAGCUCCAUGCCUGUUAUUGCCCCUGAAGACCUUCCCGUGGAACAAGAUCUGGAGGUGGAAGACAGUGAUAUUGAUGAUCCUUAUUCUGUGUAGGCCUAGGCUAAUGUAUAUAUUUAUGUCUUAGUUUUUAACAAAAAAAGCUUAAAAAGUGAAAGAAUGAGAAAAUUUAGAAGUAGAAAAAAGCUUAUAGAAUAAGGAUAUAAAGAAAGAAAAUAUUUUUGUACAGCUGUACAAUGUGUUGUUUGUGUUUUAAGGUGGGUGUUAUUACAAAAGAGUCAAAAAGAAAAAAUUAAAAAUUUUAUAAAAAAUUACAGUAAGCUAAUGUUAAUUUAUUAUUGAAGAAAGAAAAAUAUUCUUUUAUAAGUUUAGUGUAGCCUAAGUGUACAGUGUUUAUAUAUAAAAUCUACAGUAGUGUAGAGCAAUGUCCUAGGCCUUCACAUUUACUCGCCACUUACUCACUGAUGCCUACAGCAAUUUCCAGUUCUGCAAGUUCUAUUCAUGAUAAGUGCCCUAACUGUACAGGUGUAGCAUUUAACAAUUUUUUAUAUAUUUGCACUGUUCCUUUUCUAUGUUUAGAUGUGUUUAGAUAGACAGAUCUUUAUCAUUGUGUUACAAUUGCCUGCAGAAUUCAAUAUAGUAACAUGCUGUACAGGCUUGUAGCCUAGGAGUGAUAGGCUAUACCAUAUAGCCUAGGUGUCUAGCAGGCUAUACCAUCCAGGUUUGUGUAAGUACACUCUUAUAUUGUUCACACAAUUACAAAAUUACCUAAUGAUGCAUUUCUUAGAACAUAUGCCUGUCAUUAAGUGAUGCAUGACUUUAUUUGCUUUAUUUGUAAUGAAAUGAAUAUGUUUCCUGGCUUUUUUUUUUUUUUUUUUUUUGAGAACACUCAACACCUAUCUUGCAGGAGAAUAUUGUGUUUGUUUUUCUUUUCAUUCCUAUGUCUCCUGUUAUAGUCUCAGGAUGGGUGAAGUUUUAGUGAGAAGCUCAGUGGCAAGGAGACAAUAUGACUCUUCCAUGGUCAGUAUACCCACAGAAACACUUUUUCCUCAAUCUCAGGAGAAAAAUGAGCCAAAUAUGGAGGAUCCCAUCAGCUGCAGCAAAGCUACUGGCCAUGAAGGGAAGUGAGAGAAGCAAAGAGAAGAGUGAAGCAGAAUGGGAAGGAAAAUGAUGAUUCUAUGGGCACCAAUCAUGUGAUUUUUUUUUUUUCUCUUUGAAAGAUAACCUUCGGCUUAUUAAUUUUAUCAUCUCUUUUCCAAUAUUGAACCCUCAGCCUCUAAGGAUCAGCCGGGUGUAGACUCAGCAUGAUGGCCUGGCCUGCUAUCUAGCAGGGUCCCCUCAAGGCUAUGGUGGAAGGACUCGCUCAGGGCCUAGGAAGCUCUGUUGCAGUUUCCAUUCUUACAUUCCACCUUCUCUUAUGACCUACUCUCCAGCUAUACUGGAUAUGCUAGUCUUUUUCACACUUUGUGCUUUUGCUGUAUUGUUUCCCUCAUCCUAGAGUAUGCUUUUCCUGUUUGUCUGCCUGGUGAGAUAUUAUGAUCUUCAAAUGUGCCUCAUGGAAGCCUUCUCUGAUUCUUCCAGGCUGAGUUAUUUAUUUAUUUCUCCUACAGUUUCUGAACUGUGACUCACUAGUUCUACUUGGUAUGGCAACAUGAUCAUCUGGCGUUGCUAGAGAGUCUCACCUUUAAAGAGUCAUAUUAAGUUUAUUUACAGGACCUAGUGUUGGAUUACCUGAUCACGUAGCAAUUACAACUUCUUUUAUAAUUUACGCCCAAACCUUUAGGUGAGUCUUCUUGAGGCUUUACCAAGGAAACAGGCAGUUUUAGAGUUGGCCUUAAGGAUGUUCUCUGGUGUCAUCAAAGAAAUGGAAAUGCAAAGCAGAGACAUGUGCAUUUAGAUAUGUGUAAGGGCCAGAAGGACUCCACCAAAUUUCAACACUAAGAUAACCACCUGUUACCAGUCAUCAACAAAUAGUUACUGAGGACCUGCCAUGCAUCAGGAACUGCAGAUGCAGGAAAUAAUAUGGACAACAGACACAGAUUCUGCCUCAUUACUUUUGUAGUUUUCUAGUGUUCAACUCUUGAUAUACAUAUAAGAUCCGCAUCAUCUGUUAAACAUAGAGCUUAGAUCCUCUCAUGAGAGUUCAGGCGCAUUCAGGGUGAUGUGGCUGUAGCCUCUGAUUCUCUUAGAUUGGCAGUGAAGGAAGAAUCGCUACAAAGGCAGGAUCCGCUGCACUUCAGAAUCUCACCUCCUGGCCCUAAAAUCCACCUUGAAGAGUCCUUGCCUCCUGCCCAAGUAGCCACAAACUACUCUCCAAAAAGCACAACUCUUCCUUCAACAAGACUCUUUUCUUCAAAAACCACAUGCAAAGUGAAGUCUUCACUGGGUAUGUUUAGACCAGACAUUACUAAAGUAACUACUUGUGGUGAGACAUGAGCUGGUAGCUGUGCGUUUACGUGGGGCUGUGUGCUCAGAAAGGCCCUGUGCUUGGUUUAAUGCUCUAUUGUCGCUGUCUUAGAAUUCUCUGCAUUUUUAUUUUGCCCUGGGCCCCAUAAAUUAUGUGCCUGAUUCUGCAGCCAGACUUUUUGGUCUUUGAGGAUAGAUUACUUGUGUGGGGACUAUGGCUCUUCACAGUGGUACCUCCUUUCUUCUUCAGAUACUGAACUUUAAGAGACAGACACUGUCUUAACUCCAUCACACAGGAACACAACCCUUCACAUCUUCUUACAGAGCUGGGAUUUUCACUCCCUUUUAUUUCUCCCUCUCAGUUCUGUGGUCGUCCUUGAGGCUCGUCUUUUCCUUGGGUAACCAACACUGAAAAUGGUGUCUGCCUUCAAGAACGUGGUAGCUCUCCACAAAGCCUUAGAGUCCUAAGAACAAUAACCAUAGCAGAGUAUGUGCCACACAAGGUAGUGCUGUGAGAUACACACACACACAUGCCCCCAGAAGAAAGGGUUUCAUCACAAUAGAUUACUGAGGGAAAUCCUGUGAGGUGAAGAGGACAGUAUCUCUAUCAAACAGGUAAGAAAAGGCAGAGACUUGAGGACAUCUGCUCCUUCUGUGGGGCAGGAAAUUAUUUCUCCAUUUCAUGUUCCCUUCAAGGGAAAAACAAAACAGGAAGCUCAAACUAGGUUACCCUGCUGCUAUGUGACUUUGUGUAAACCACUUAACCCCCUGAUCUUCUGUUUUUUCCUAGAAACAAAGGCCUGAGAAGGGAUGAGUUCAGCAAUCCCUCUGGGCCCCAAAUUCUCUUAUUCUAGGAAAAAAUGAAUGUUCUUAUAAUGAGAGAUUAAUGCAGAAGGAAGUAAAGACAACUGCAUUGUGGUGGGAAAUUUAUGCCUGAGGUACAUUUUAAUUUUUAAUGUCUUAAUAGCCCCCAGUUUUAAAUAGUCCUGACCUCUUUAAAGAUGGCUGCACCACAUCAUACUGCCUAUUACUGGGAGAAACAAUCCUCUUGUCCUAAGACAUAACAUUUCUUAGAAAAGAUACCGAUCUUAAGAAAGAUUCUACUGAUGAGCUUUCAAUUUGCUCUGUUGUCAGGGAGCCCAUAGAGAUCACAUUUUGAAAAAAUUAACCAAGGGCAGCUGAGGAAAAUUGUCAUAAAGAACUCGUUUUCCUUCUGUAAUAAUAAUUACGUAAGAGCACUGUAAUGAGAAAGAAACAAAUGAAGAGGGGCACAGGAACAGGGCACAAAAAGCAGUGUUGUGCACGUGUCAAGUCGAAUGGGAGAUGGGGUAGAGAUUAAGAGGAAAAUGGACACCAUUUGUUAGUAGAUUAAGCAGAAAGUGUAUCAGUCAGGAUGCUCAUAAUUGCUCUAUCAAAUGGCUAAGGAAGCUAUUUAGCUCUUUGUUUCUUCAGUUAACCAUGAAGGGUGAAUGUUAGAAAUGAAAAGGAAAAAGGUUGAUAAAUUAUACAGAACUGCAGGGUGGAAUACUGCUUAUCUUCCCUGGAGUUAUGGUGAGAAUAGCUUUGAGCAAAUUCCAAAUUUUCAUAUGGGUUCUUCAUUUCUGUCCUCCAUUCAGCUUUCCAUAACAGGCAUAGAUUAUUUAUCACAGCUCCCGUUAUUGCAUCAGCUUGAGUAGUCCUCUGGCUCUGUCUGCAGGAGGAUACUCAUUUUGCAUUUGUAAUUACCAAACUUAAAAGGAGCCAGUUAAUUCUGCUUCUGCUCAGGGGUCUCAUUUAGUAGAAUGAUGUCUUAAGAAAAAAUAUGGGAACUGAAUUUUGUUUGGGCCUGGAAUCCCAAUUACUCUUAAUCCCAGUAUCUCACUGGUAUAGGUAACUAAUGUUUAUAGAAGGGAUAAACUAAUGUUUAUCCACUCUUCCCCCAAAUUUCUUUUCACUGCAUUAAACAAUUGUUAGUUUAGUAAAUUUGACCUGCUAGGGAGCUCAGAAGCAGAAUCCUUCCUUCUUUAAUCUUGCAUUUAUAUAGAAAAGUGUGAGUUGGAGAGGUAACAAUUAUAGUUAAUUAAGUUAAUAUACAUGGUCCAAACAUCAUUCUAGUGAUAUAGGCUCCUGCAGUUAAAGAGUUCCAGUUAACUGGAUUAAGCUCCUCCCUCUGUUCCAUGUAGCAAAUAUCAGUUUUAUAGUAAUAUUAGUUCUAUUUGUCAUAUCUGUUAACAGUUGAAGGUAUCUAUUUUAAAAUCAAAGGUAGUAUUCACUACCAGACAGAAAGCCAACUUUUAAAUUUUAUUUACCUCAAGUUUUGUUUUUGUUUUUAAUGAAGACCAAAGAAAUGUGUAUAUAAAUGGCUUUUAAUGCCAUAGAUACAUUAAAAGUAUAAUGGUAUUUUUAUCAUCAAGCUUCAUUUCAUUGUAGUUUUCAUUAUCCUCUCUCUGCAGUGACUUUUUUCUCCUUUUUAAUUUCCAUAACACUAUGCCAUGUAUUUCUUUCAUAAUGACUGAUGAUGAAUGCUGAUUUUUAACAUUAAAUAUUUUAUGUGAAGAAUUAAACCAUUAGCAGACUGUGCAGAAAUAUGAAUGUAUCAUAUUCAAAUUACCAAGUUAGAUCCAAAAAUUUAACAUGUUUGAUAUAAAAUUUUAGCAAAUUCGUGUAAGUAUAACCUCCUGAAAACUUUAGAGACAGAUAACCCACUGUUCACUUAAGAAACAUAAACAUACAGUUUUCUUUUUCUUUUUCUUUUUUUUUCUGAGACGGGGUCUUGCUCUGUCAUCCAGGCUGGAGUACAUUGGUGCGAUAUCUGCUCACUGCAACCUCUGCCUCCCAGGUUCAAGCAAUUCUCCUGCCUCAGCCUCAUGAGUAGCUGGAACUACAGGCAUGCACCACCAAGCCCAGCUAAUUUUGGUAUUUUUUUUAGUAGAGACGGGUUUUCACCAUGUUGGCCAGGCUGGUCUCGAACUCCUGACCUCCCCUUGGCCUCCCAAAGUGCUGGGAUUACAGGCGUGAGCCACCAUGCCCGGCAAACACACAGUUUUCAAAAUACUAUCCAUUUGUAUAGUGCUUUUUCAGUUUUUAAAGCACAAGUUUAAACAUUUUAUUGGACUUUCACAACAAAAAUAUAAGAGACACAAGAUAUUUUAUUCUCCAUUCUAUAGAUGAGGAAGCCAAGACCUCAUUAAAGUGUGGUGCCCCAGUCUACCUAGCACCUAUAACUAGCAGAGUUCAAAAUACAGUCUAGCUGUAUUGACCUUCAGUGUUUGUGCUGGGUAAAUUCAUCCCCUUUCUAUGAAGAUUUGUCAUUAUUUGGUUCUAGGACUGGAUAUGCAUUCAUUAGUGCAAAUCUAAUCCUUGAGUAGUAUAGGCACACCUUGGAGAUGUCGUGGAUUUGGUUUCAGAGCACUUCAAUAAAGCGAAAAUUGCAGUAAAGUGAGUCACACAGAUCAUUUGGUUUCCCAAGCAUAUAAAAGUUAUGUUUACACUAUAUUGUAGUCUAUUAAGUGUGUAAUAGCAUUAUGUUUUAAAAAACAAUGUACGUGCCUUAAUUUUAAAAUAUUGUAUUGCUAAAAAAAUGCUAAUGAUCAGCUGGGCCUUCGGUGAGUUGUAAUCUUUUUGUUGAUGGAGGGUCUUGCUUCGAUGUUGAUGGCUGCUAACCAGGGUGGUGGUUGAUCAAAAUUGGGGUAGCUGUGGCAAUUUCUUAAAUUAAGACAACAGUGAUUUGCCACAUUGAUUGACUCUUCUUUUUAUGAAAGAGUUUUCAGUGGGAUGCAAUAUUGUUUGACAGCAUUUUAACCACAGUAGAAUUUAUUUCAAAAUUGGAGUGUGUCCUCUCAAAAUGUGUCUCUACUUUAUCAAUGAAGUUUAUGUAAUAUUCUAAACCCACUGUUGUCAUCUCAACAAUGUUCACAGCAUCCUCACCAGGAGUAAAUUCCAUUUCAAGAAACCAUUUUCUUUGCUCAGCCAUAAGAAGCAACUCCUCAUCCUUUCAAGUUUGAUCAUGAGAUUGCAGCAAUUCAGUCACAUCUUCAGAUUCCACUAAUUCUCUUGCUAUUUCUACCAUGUCUGCAGUUACUUCCUCCACUGAAGUCUUGAAGUUCCCAAAGUCAUUCAUGAGGGUUGAUAUCCAUAUCUGCCAAACAUCUGUUAAGGUCAAUAAUUUGAACACCUUUCAUGAAUCACAGAAGUUCUUAAUAGCAGCUAGAAUGGUGAAUCUUUUCCAGAAGGUGUUCAAUUUGCUUUGCUCAGAUCUAUGAGAGGAAUCACAAUGGGAGCUAUAGCCUUAUGAAAUAUAUUUCUUUUCUUUUCUUUUCUUUUUUGAGACGGAGUUUUGGCUCUUGUUGCCCAGGCUGGAGUGCAAUGGUGCGAUCUCAGCUCACCGCAACCUCCACCUACCUCCUGGGUUCAAGCGAUUCUCCUGCCUUAGCCUCCCAAAUUCCUGGGAUUACAGGCAUGUGCCACCAUGCCUGGCUAAUUUUGUUUUUUUUUAGUAGAGAUAGGGUUUCUCCAUGUUGGUCAGGCUGGUCUUGAACUUCCGACCUUAGGUGAUCCGCCCGCCCCAGCCUUCCAAAGUGCUGGGAUUAUAGGCGUGAGCCACCACGCUCGGCCUGCAAUGUACUUCUUAAAUAAUAAGACUUGAAAGUUGAAAUUACUCCUUGAUCCAUGUACUGUAGAAUGGAUAUUGUAAUAGAAGGCAUGAAAGCAACAUUAAUCUCCUUGUACAUCUCCAUCAGGACUCUUGGGUGAUUAGGUCACCCAAGAUUACUGUCAGUGAACAGUAAUCUUUUGAAAGGAGCCUUUUUAAAUAAACAGUAGGUCUCAACAGUAAGCUUAAACACAUUCAAUAAACGAUGCUGUGAACAGAUGUGAUAUUUACACAUAUGUUUAAAACGCUUUUUAUUUAAAGUGAGAGACAUCACAGAACAUAAAACAGAACUACCAUUUGACCCAGCAAUCCCAUUACUGAGUACAUAUCCAAAAGAAAUUAAAUUGUUCUACCAAAAGAAAUGUGUACUCACAUGUUUAUUGCAGCACUAUUCACAAUAGCAAAGACAUGGAAUCAACCUAGGUGCCCAUCAGUGGUGGACUGGAUAAAGAAAAUGUGGUGCAUAUACACUAUGGAAUAGUAUGCAGCCAUAAAAAAUGAAACCAUGUUCUUUGCAGCAAUUUGGGUGCAGCUGGAGGCCAUUAUCCUAACUGACUUAAUGCAGGAAUAGAAAACCAAAUACCGCAUGUCUCACUUAUAAGUGGGAGCUAAACAUUGAGCACCCAUGGACAAAAACAUAGGAACAAUAGACACUGCAGACUACUAGAGGUAGGAGGGAGAGAAGGGGCAAGGAUUGAAAAACUAACUAUUGGGUAUUAUGGUCAGUACCUGGGUGAUGGUACCAUUUGUACCCUAGACCUCAGGGUACAAUGUACCCAGGUAACAAACUUGCACAUGUACCCCCUGAAUCUAAAAUAAAAGUUGAAAUUACAACAAAAGUAAUAAAAAAUAAAAUGAGAGAUGUGUGACUCUAUCUUGAACACUUAGAGGCCAUUGUAGGACUAUUAACUGGUCUGCUUGCAAUAUUGUUGUGUCUCAGGGAAUAGGGAGGCCUGAGGAGAGGAAGAAAGACAAGAACAGCUGGUUGGUGGAGCAGACAGCACACACACUUAUUGAUCAAGUCUGCUGUCUUAUGUGGGUGUAGUUUAUGGUGCCCGAAAUAAUUACAGUAGUAACAUCAAAGAUCACUGAUCACAGAUCACCACAACAGAUAUAAUAAUGAAAAAGUUUAAAAUACUGAGGGAAUUACCCAAAUGUGGCACAGAGACACGAAAUGAGCACAUGCCUUUGGAGAAAUGCUGCUGGCAGACUUGCUCAAUGCAGGGUUGCAACACAUCUUUAAUUAAAAAAAAAAAGCAGUAUCUGUGAAGCAGAAUAAAGUGAGGCACAGUAAAACAAGGUACGCACAAAUUUUAAAAGAGAGCUGAAGUAAUUUUUGUAAAAGUACAGAACUUAGAAG
rnacentral:lncRNA from 1 species